UCACACUUGGCAGUUGUCUAGUGUUACGUACCUACCUAUAACCUUAUAUAAUUAAAAACUAUGACCUGGAUGGGAUAUAGAGUUGAAAACUAUAUCAAAUUUAAGCUAACUAUAUUAAUUGUGAAAUUAUGAAAAAAAUUUUAUAAAAGUCGGCCCACUUUUGCCCAUAACCUAUUAUUGUUAUCUAAAAAUACAAAACCCGUUUUUGCACAACGUCUAAUUUACGACGAUCUGCACCAUCACCUCACUAUUAUCUCUAAAGUUAUUGUACCUUAUUUGAGUCAAAACUGUCAGGCUUUUACAAUAGCUUUUAAGACCAUCCAAAUUCUAAGGUGCUAAAUACUAAAAAUCCAUCUGAAGGAAGUACUUGUAACUUUUAUCACUACGCAGACAGAACACCAUGAAUACAACUACUAUGUUAUCCACUACAUUCAGUAUUGUGUUUUUCUGUUCUUUGAUAUCCAUCACAACACAACAAGAAGACUCGUCAGUCCAUCUCCGCACUAUAUUGAAAAAAUACGGCAUUGAGUGCGAAGAAGAGGCGUUAGUCAGUCUCGACACUUUAUUGAAGGAUGGCCCCAUUGUGAAUGAAAGAGACUUUAUAGCUGUUUAUUACUCUACAUUCGAUAAUUACAAUUUCGAAGUAUCCUACAACCUACGACGUAGAGGAAGAAUUGAAGAGUUUCUUAAUUAUUGUAAUACGGGUUGGGUUCAUCUGCAUUGGUUAUGGAUUAGCCUACAAGUCUUACAGAAGCUGCAAAAAAUGGAGCGAGGACAAAGAAGUAUAUCCUGUUUAAACUUACUUGAAAAAAAAUGUAUCUAGAGUUCCUAUAAAUAUUAUGUAUUUUGCCACUUAUUUCCCAUCUGUUCUAAUAAUACUAAAGAAUAUCUAAAUUAUACUGUUACCUUGUUUAGUUUACUUGUUAUUGUUGUUUUAUAUAAUUAUACUUUAUAUAGAGAAA